CCUUUAAUCACGAUGCGAUAUAUAUUGAAGAAAAGAUAAAGAGCAUUAGACUAUAGCAUUUUAACCCCUUAAGGACACAUGACAUGUGUGACAUGUCAUAAUUCCCUUUUAUUCCAGAACUUUGGUCCUUAAGGGGUUAAACAAAACCUAGUAGAUUGUAUAAUCAUGUGCUAUGGAAUCCCUAAUAAUUAAUGAACUAGGAUAUUUAUAUGGGCAAUUCUUUUUAACCCCUUAAGGACACAAC